rfam:Schistosoma mattheei strain Denwood, Zambia genome assembly, scaffold: SMTD_scaffold0002143
AUCCAGCUGACGAGUCCCAAACAGGACGAAAUGCACGUCAAACUGGAU